GUAUUUAUCCCAUCCAAAGUGCACACACACAGCAGUGAAAACACACACACACACCCACAAACACACACAAAAAAAUAAUUUACACCAUAGAAUGGCCUCGAAAGGGAAAGAGGAAGUUACAUACGCUCUUCAGUCUUUCAUCAUUUGUUCCCUGGAGGAUCUCUGCAACUUUCAACACACAAACACGUCAAAGCCUGGGCAUGUCUCCAGAAUGCAUGGAAACAUCUAUAAGAACACUACUUUCAGUAGUACUUAAUGUUUCCGCCCACUAAACAUCAGGUCCACCAUUUGCUACAUCAGAAGAGCAAGAUGGCCACCUCUGUCAGCUCAGUUGAGAGCACAGAAUGCCACUCCCGUUCUGCUCCACACCCAAAUAAGGGCAAGGGACCCUCACCAGGCCGGGAAUGUGGAUGAGUCAGCAAGGACCCCGUAUGGUAGCCUUUGUUUAUGCCUGAGAAUAACGAAUAGCAAAGCUCAGGCAGCUCACGUGAGCUGGCUGCUGGAGGGA